GAUGAACGCUGGCGGCGUGCCUAAUACAUGCAAGUCGAGCGAACAGACGAGGAGCUUGCUCCUCUGACGUUAGCGGCGGACGGGUGAGUAACACGUGGGGAACCUACCUAUAAGACUGGGAUAACUUCUGGAAACCGGUGCUAAUACCGGAUAAUAUAUUUAACCGCAUGGUUCAAGAUUGAAAGACGGUUUUGCUGUCACUUAUAAAUGGAUCCGCUCCGCAUUAGCUAGUUGGUAAGGUAACGGUUUACCAAGGCAACGAUGAGUAGCCGCCCUGAGAGGGUGAUCGGCAACACUGGAACUGAGAACCGGUCCAGACUCCUCCGGGAGGCAGCAGUAGGGAAUCUUCCGAAAUGGGCGAAAGCUUGCCGGAGCAACGCCGCGUGAGUGAUGAAGGUCUUCGGUUCUUAAAACUUUGUUAUUAGGGAAGACCAAAUGUGUAAGUAAAUAUGCACGUCUUGACGGUACCUAAUCAGAAAGCCACGGCUAACUACGUG
rnacentral:rRNA from 1 species